UGCAAGUCGAGCGAACAGAUGAGAAGCUUGCUUCUCUGAUGUUAGCGGCGGACGGGUGAGUAACACGUGGGUAACCUACCUAUAAGACUGGGAUAACUCCGGGAAACCGGGGCUAAUACCUGAUAAUAUUUUGAACCGCAUGGUUCAAUAGUGAAAGACGGCUUCGGCUGUCACUUAUAGAUGGACCCGCGCCGUAUUAGCUAGUUGGUAAGGUAAUGGCUUACCAAGGCAACGAUACGUAGCCGACCUGAGAGGGUGAUCGGCCACACUGGAACUGAGACACGGUCCAGACUCCUACGGGAGGCAGCAGUAGGGAAUCUUCCGCAAUGGGCGAAAGCCUGACGGAGCAACGCCGCGUGAGUGAUGAAGGUCUUAGGAUCGUAAAACUCUGUUGUUAGGGAAGAACAAAUUUGUUAGUAACUGAACAAGUCUUGACGGUACCUAACCAGAAAGCCACGGCUAACUACGUGCCAGCAGCCGCGGUAAUACGUAGGUGGCAAGCGUUAUCCGGAAUUAUUGGGCGUAAAGCGCGCGUAGGCGGUUUCUUAAGUCUGAUGUGAAAGUCCACGGCUCAACCGUGGAAGGUCAUUGGAAACUGGGGAACUUGAGUGCAGAAGAGGAGAGUGGAAUUCCAUGUGUAGCGGUGAAAUGCGCAGAGAUAUGGAGGAACACCAGUGGCGAAGGCGGCUCUCUGGUCUGUAACUGACGCUGAUGUGCGAAAGCGUGGGGAUCAAACAGGAUUAGAUACCCUGGUAGUCCACGCCGUAAACGAUGAGUGCUAAGUGUUA
rnacentral:rRNA from 1 species